rnacentral:rRNA from 1 species
UAAGGAAUAUUGGUCAAUGGACGCAAGUCUGAACCAGCCAUGCCGCGUGAAGGAUGAAGGCCCUCUGGGUUGUAAACUUCUUUUAUGGGGGACGAAAAAAGAUCAUUCCUGAUCACUUGACGGUACCCUAGGAAUAAGCACCGGCUAACUCCGUGCCAGCAGCCGCGGUAAUACGGAGGGUGCAAGCGUUAUCCGGAUUUACUGGGUUUAAAGGGUGCGUAGGUGGGUAGGAAAGUCAGUGGUGAAAUCUUCGGGCUUAACCCGGAAACUGCCAUUGAUACUAUUUAUCUUGAAUACUUUGGAGGUAAGCGGAAUAUGUCAUGUAGCGGUGAAAUGCUUAGAUAUGACAUAGAACACCAAUUGCGAAGGCAGCUUACUACACAGUUAUUGACACUGAGGCACGAAAGCGUGGGGAUCAAACAG